GACGAACGCUGGCGGCGUGCUUAACACAUGCAAGUCGAGCGGAAAGGCCCUUCGGGGUACUCGAGCGGCGAACGGGUGAGUAACACGUGAGCAACCUGUCCUCAGCUCUGGGAUAGCUCCGGGAAACCGGAAUUAAUACCGGAUAUGACCACGAUCGACAUCGGCCGUGGUGGAAAGGAUUCCGGCUGAGGAUGGGCUCGCGGCCUAUCAGCUAGUUGGUGGGGUAACGGCCCACCAAGGCGACGACGGGUAGCCGGCCUGAGAGGGCGACCGGCCACACUGGGACUGAGACACGGCCCAGACUCCUACGGGAGGCAGCAGUGGGGAAUAUUGCGCAAUGGGCGAAAGCCUGACGCAGCGACGCCGCGUGGGGGAUGAAGGCCUUCGGGUUGUAAACCCCUUUCAGCAGGGACGAAGCGAAAGUGACGGUACCUGCAGAAGAAGCGCCGGCUAACUACGUGCCAGCAGCCGCAGUAACAC
rnacentral:rRNA from 1 species